CCUCAGUGGAUGGCCCGCUCGGCGCUGUGUGACUCUUCUGGAACAGGCACGGUUAUUCGCUCUGUGCUGUCCGCGGCCGGGGCCACGGAGAGGUCAGCACACUGGCCGGGGCCACGCAGCACACGAGCUGGCCAGCAGCUGUGAGGUUGGUCGGGGCCUGACCCUGCCUCCUGCGCUUGUGCCCAUUCCCAGCUCGGGAAACUGAGACAGCCUCCAGGCCUCUCACCAGGGCCUGCGGAGACCCUGGUCCCGCCUCCCUCAGGGGUGUCCCCGCCCCACUCUGGGAGGUCACCCUGUCUUGGGCACACAGGCGCAAGGCCGAGGCUGGUGCUGUGUUCAGGAAGGCUCCACUGUGGGGCAGCUGAGCAUCCAGAAGGGACGGGGUGGCAGGUGAGGGCCACCAGGGAGGUGCUGGCUGUGGGGCUGGCUGAGCCAGGGCAGAGGUAGGAGGGGAGACUGCAUUCCGGGAGCGAGUGUCCAGGUGGGCCGCGUGGAGACUGCUCCCCCAAGGCACCUGUGUCUGAACUCCUGGACCAAGGGGGACAUCACCUCACAGGGGACAAGGACUUGGCAGUCCAAGUGGCUCUCAAGAGUCUUCUCCAGGACCACAGCUGGAAAGCAUCAGCCUUCCUCACGGCCCAACUCUCACAUUUGCGCAACUUCUAGAAAAGCCAGUUUGACUGUACGGACCUUCGUCAGUACCUGCUCACAUUUUUUGAAGCAUUUUUUUCGUUGGUGUGAGAUUAUCGAAUUAAAACUAGAGAGCAAUAAGCUGAAUGCCCCUGAAGUGUGUAAUUAGGUUUGGGUGUGUGUUUGGAUCCAGAAGCCCCGCUGUGUCCAUCGCACCCCAGGACAUCCCAGAAGCCAGCUGUCUACCUGUGCCCACAAAUCCUGCACGAUCGGAACCGCACAUGUGGGCUCUUUUCGGCCCGGCUUCUUUCACUCGGCUUUGUGACUUUGAGACUCACCUGUCCUUCUGUGUGCUUCUUCCCUGUUUAUUUCUGAGCAGCCCCGUGCUCCGUGAGGCAGACGUGUCACCAGAUGGGAGACGUGGUCUGCUCACGGCUUCAGCGAUUCCGAAGGAAGCUUCUUGUUCACAUCUUGGUGUGGACACACGUUUUGUUUCCUGAGUGAACAUCAAAGGGUGGGAUGGCUGGGUGGCAGGGCUGCGUAGGUUUCUGUCCUUUGUCUUUUUCUUAAUAGGAGGAGUUUUUAAUAGCAACGAAGCCCAAUUGAUCAAUUUCUAUGAUUAUUUCAUGCUUUCUGUGUUCUAAGAAAUCUUUGCCUGCCCCAAGUGAAAGGCUGUCUCCUGUGUUUCCUUGCAGAAGGUUCACGGGUUUAGAAUUCACGUUUAUGUCUAACCCAUCUGAGCUGUGUGUGUGCUGUAUGAGAGAAAGGACACGUUUUUCUCCCUAUAAGGACAUCCAGUGGAUCCAACAGUAUUUGUUGAAAAAGCUUUCUUUUCCCUUUC